ensembl:lncRNA
GUUGUCUAUUUUCUAACAAUGAGUCUUUUUGGGGGUUGUCUAUUUUCUAACAAUGAGUCUUUUUGGGGGUUGUCUAUUUUCUAACAAUGUAGCCAAUUUUCAAACAAUGUAGCCAUUUUUUUGGGGGGAGGUUGUCUAUUUUCUAACAAUGAGUCUUUUUGGGGGGUUGUCUAUUUUCUAACAAUGAGGCCAGUCUUUUUGGGGGGAUUGUCUAUUUUCUAACAAUUAGUCUUUUUGAGGGGGUUGUCUAUUUUCUAACAAUUAGUCUUUUUGAGGGGGUUGUCUAUUUUCUAACAAUGUAGCCAAUUUUCAAACAAUGUAGCCAGUCUUUUUGGGGGGUUGUCUAUUUUCUAACAAUGUAGCCAGUCUUUUGGGGGGGUUGUCUAACAAUCAGCCAGUCUUUUUGGCGGGUUGUCUAUUUUCUAACAAUGUAGCCAGUCUUUUUGGGGGGUUGUCUAUUUUCUAACAAUGUAGCCAGUCUUUUUGGGGGGUUGUCUAUUUUCUAACAAUGUAGCCAGUCUCACAGUUGUUUCCUGAUGUCUG